rnacentral:rRNA from 1 species
GAGCGGCGAACGGGUGAGUAACACGUGAGUAACCUGCCCCUGACUCUGGGAUAAGCCUGGGAAACCGGGUCUAAUACCGGAUGUGACCUCCUCCGGCAUCGGAUGGUGGUGGAAAGUUUUUCGGUCAGGGAUGGGCUCGCGGCCUAUCAGCUUGUUGGUGGGGUAGUGGCCUACCAAGGCGACGACGGGUAGCCGGCCUGAGAGGGCGACCGGCCACACUGGGACUGAGACACGGCCCAGACUCCUACGGGAGGCAGCAGUGGGGAAUAUUGCGCAAUGGGCGGAAGCCUGACGCAGCGACGCCGCGUGGGGGAUGACGGCCUUCGGGUUGUAAACCUCUUUCAGCAGGGACGAAGUUGACGUGUACCUGCAGAAGAAGCGCCGGCUAACUACGUGCCAGCAGCCGCGGUAAUACGUAGGGCGCAAGCGUUGUCCGGAAUUAUUGGGCGUAAAGAGCUCGUAGGUGGCUGGUCGCGUCUGCCGUGAAAGCCCGCAGCUUAACUGCGGGUCUGCNGGUGGAUACNGGGCCGGCUAGAGGUAGGUAGGGGCAAGUGGAAUUCCU